CUAUAAAAUGACCAAAUCUUGUUCUAUUAUGUAACGCAAGAAAAAUAACUUGUCCUGUGUGUUACAUAAAAAGAGGGGAUAUAUAUGGCUAUCAUUAAGUUUAUUUAUACAAUGUUUCUAUUUAUUUUACUAUUUGUAGUUCCAACCAAAGUUGACGGGAGAAUCACACAUGAUCCCUCAACAAGGAGUACAGUCUCAGGAGGAUUUGGUAAAUGUGUUCGUGAUGCCGAUUGUGUGGACGAGGUGUGCAGUCCUGGUUGUAAUAAACGAUGUGUUGGUUUUGAGUGUCAAUGCCCCUUAUGAUGCCUCUGGUUUUAUGAGUACUAGCUUCAACAAACACUUUAUAUGGAUGAAUAAGUUUUUGCACUAGCAAAAAGAUCUAUCUAUGGCUAUUGUCAUUUAGUUAUUGCGGUGAUAUCAAAUAAAUGGAUUUAUAUUUACUUUUCUUUUCCGUUACCUUUAUGGCUUUUGUACUAGACAAUAAUCUACAAUAUAUACUAGAUGUAUUAAAGUAAGGUUUUUCUAAUUACAAUAAUUUACAAAUAUCAUUCUAUUAUACA